UUGGUAGAGGUGCGACAGUCAAUAGUAACCCGGUCAACGGUCAUUCAACCGCGGGUGAAAGGGGGUGUCGCCGAAGUUGGCGGUUGCUGAAUGGUCACCGCAGGCUGGGGCAGCGCACAAUAUGCGCUGAACUGUCACGUAAGUGGAGCGCUAUCA
rnacentral:ncRNA from 1 species